rnacentral:lncRNA from 1 species
UCAAAAUUUUUUGUACUACUGUCACUAACAUUGCAGGAGGACAGAUUCGUCUUUUAAGAGGGAACCCUGAAAGACAAUCCAUACCGCAUACUAUCGGAAGCUCAGCAUCAACCCCGGAGCCCACUCUGGGAGUAACAAUUCCAACCUCGGAGAUAACCCUGAGGCGUGCAGAUACAAUACCGGAGCACACACCGGAGAAAACCGAUUGAUCUCGGAGAUAACCCCGUGGUAUCCAGUCUUAGCCCCAACUAUGGGAAUUGCCACCAACCUUAGUGAUAACCCCAAGGAAUGCAGUUUCGGCUAUAACCCUGGAAAUACUUGUUUCAGAUGCGACCAGCUUCAAUCUCGGUGCUCACAAUGAGAUACACUAUACCAACCCGGCGAUAACAUCGGGAAGACAGGUACACCUCAAAGAUGACAAUGAGGACCUUCAAUAAUUGUAGCAGUCCAAUCUCAGCGAAGCCUGAGAAAAGUUUGCUUUAUCAGCCCAAUCCGGCGAUAACACCGGUGAGAGGCAACAUCGUCAUCUCGCCAACGCGAUGCCACGCCAUGUCGUCUCAACAUCUCUACGCAACGAUGUAUCACAAGACUAACCAAUCCCGAGUGACUAUUGUGCGGGGUAACGGAUGAAAGUUGAAGCUUGAAGACCGGAGGGCAUCGACCCAUCUUCAAUGAAUUCGUACAAACUCUAAUCCCAUGCCAUCAUAUAACUCUCGACAAUGGCGG